rnacentral:rRNA from 1 species
UACGUAGGUGGCAAGCGUUGUCCGGAAUUAUUGGGCGUAAAGCGCGCGCAGGCGGCCUUUUAAGUCUGAUGUGAAAGCCCACGGCUCAACCGUGGAAGGUCAUUGGAAACUGAAAGGCUUGAGUACAGAAGAGGAAAGCGGAAUUCCACGUGUAGCGGUGAAAUGCGUAGAGAUGUGGAGGAACACCAGUGGCGAAGGCGGCUUUCUGGUCUGUAACUGACGCUGAGGCGCGAAAGCGUGGGGAGCAACAGG